rnacentral:rRNA from 1 species
GACGAACGCUGGCGGCGUGCUUAACACAUGCAAGUCGAACGGAAAGGCCCUGCUUGCAGGGUACUCGAGUGGCGAACGGGUGAGUAACACGUGGGUGAUCUGCCCUGCACUUCGGGAUAAGCCUGGGAAACUGGGUCUAAUACCGGAUAGGAGCCAUUUUUAGUGUGAUGGUUGGAAAGUUUUUUUCGGUGUAGGAUGAGCUCGCGGCCUAUCAGCUUGUUGGUGGGGUAAUGGCCUACCAAGGCGGCGACGGGUAGCCGGCCUGAGAGGGUGGACGGCCACAUUGGGACUGAGAUACGGCCCAGACUCCUACGGGAGGCAGCAGUGGGGAAUAUUGCACAAUGAGCGCAAGCCUGAUGCAGCGACGCCGCGUGGGGGAUGACGGCCUUCGGGUUGUAAACUCCUUUCGCUAGGGACGAAGCUUUUUGUGACGGUACCUAGAUAAGAAGCACCGGCUAACUACGUG